UACGUAGGGUGCGAGCGUUAAUCGGAAUUACUGGGCGUAAAGCGUGCGCAGGCGGUUCGUUGUGUCUGAUGUGAAAGCCCCGGGCUUAACCUGGGAAUGGCAUUGGAAACUGGCGGGCUUGAGUAUGGCAGAGGGGGGUGGAAUUCCGCGUGUAGCAGUGAAAUGCGUAGAGAUGCGGAGGAACACCGAUGGCGAAGGCAGCCCCCUGGGCUAACACUGACGCUCAGGCACGAAAGCGUGGGGAGCAAACAGG
rnacentral:rRNA from 1 species